GAUGAAGAACGUAGCGAAAUGCGAUACUUGGUGUGAAUUGCAGAAUCCCGCGAAUCAUCGAGUUUUUGAACGCAAGUUGCGCCCGAAGCCAUUCGGCCGAGGGCACGUCUGCCUGGGUGUCACGCAUCGUUGCCCCCCCAAACUCCGGUUCGGGCGGGGCGGAAGUUGGCCUCCCGUGCGUGCCUGUGCGCGCGGUUAGCCCAAAAGCGAGUCCUCGGCGAUGAGCGCCACGACAAUCGGUGGUUUUUUUACCCUCGUUCCUCGUCGUGCGUGCCCCGUCGCCCGAACGCGCUCUUGCAACCCUUACGCGUCGCCUCGGUGGCGCUCCCAACGCGACCCCAGGUCAGGCGGGACUACCCGCUGAGUUUAAGCAUAUCAAUAAGCGGAGGA
rnacentral:misc_RNA from 1 species